CAAGAAUAAUUUAGUUGAAAAUGAUACGCUUUAUUACAUUAAGAAAUAAUCUUAUAAUUAUUUUUUAUUUGAUAUCAAACGGGAUCAUAAUUAUUAGCAUGAUAUCGAAGUUAAUUAUAGAACUAUUAAACAAAAGUGCGAUGGAAAUAAGCUCCUCAAAAUAAACAAAUAAUAAACUCCAAAACAGCGUUCGUUCUGGUGAUUGUUUUGGAUUUUUCUUUGGCGCCCGUAGGCAUAACUAUUGCAAUUCCGACGGGGUGAAGAUCGAAUCCAAACUCUCCAUUCUCUACAAUGGUGAAGAUCGAAGAGAUCAACGAAUCCGUUGUGACCAAAACGAGUAGAAAGAGGAAUCAUGGAUCGACCAGAUUCUUUGUCUUCCUUGAUUAUUUUUUCAUCUUCAUGUUCCUCGGAUUCCUCUGCUUCAUCGUUUUCCAGAUUCUUAGCCUUUGAUUCAUCACAUUCUCCUUGUUCUCAACCAGGUAUCGUGUCCAUCUACUUUAUUUAUUUAUUUAUUUAUUUAUUUUUUAAUUAAUCGUGCCCCAUAAGAUGUUUUUCUUCAAUGCAUGCUUAUAAUUGUUGUACCUGAUCAACC
rnacentral:lncRNA from 1 species